AAAAUGUUUGUAGAAGGAGAUGCGGCCCCUAGUGAAGGAGAUGUAUCCUCAACUUGUAUAGAUGCGUUUUUUUUUGCAGAGACCAAAAUGGCUGGAGAAGGAUAUGUGGCUGACAAUGAAACAGAGGUUCCCAUUUUUUAUUAUUUUUACCCUAUUAGCAUUUUAAUUUUUUGAGUUUUAUCCUCUGACAUUUUAUUAUGCCCUUUUCUUAUGCCCUCUUAGUAUCCCAAUGUUUUGUUCAUUGUAGGGUUCUGCAAAUCCGAUCUCACGACGGAACUCAAAAAGGGCUGCUAAGCGGCAGCCGCAUGGAGAUGAUAAGGAUGGGAAUGGAGAGGGUGACGAU
rnacentral:lncRNA from 1 species